rnacentral:rRNA from 1 species
AGGGGCAGCAUGACCUAGCAAUAGGUUGAUGGCGACCGGCGCACGGGUGAGUAACGCGUAUGCAACCUGCCUGAUACCGGGGUAUAGCCCAUGGAAACGUGGAUUAACACCCCAUAGUACUUUUAUCCUGCAUGGGAUGUGAGUUAAAUGUUCAAGGUAUCGGAUGGGCAUGCGUCCUAUUAGUUAGUUGGCGGGGUAACAGCCCACCAAGACGAUGAUAGGUAGGGGUUCUGAGAGGAAGGUCCCCACAUUGGAACUGAGACACGGUCCAAACUCC